UUGUUGAGGACUGCUGCCAGUUUAGUCUAUGGAUGAAUCUCCGUCGAAUCUUCAGAUCUGAAUUGGCUGACUCAAAUUGGGACAGUGAUUCAACUCACUGAAUUGAAUUACACUCCCUCCAAAUUGGCCAAAUCCGAAUCCAAAUUGAAUGCUUGCUGCUUUGCGUAGGCCUACUGCAGCAGUGUUUGCUUUCCUUUGUAGCAGAGAAUGUGGCCAUUUUCUUUGGAUCUCUUGAGCAUAUUUUAACACCAGCCACUGCAGGAUAUUGGCCACCUUGUCCUUCUGAUUUACCUGUGUCAGAUUAGGGUGCUAUGCUUUGUGACUGUGUAAUCAGGGUUGACUACACAGUUUUACUAGCAGGUCAGAUGAGGAUUUUUAUAGGAUGGUUUGGAUCGGGAUGAUCCUGCCUCUGGUGAGGUUUUGAAUAAAAUAGCAUAAGAGGUCCUUUCCAGCCCUAAUUUCCUCUUAUUUUGUGAAAAUUAGCUAUUAUAUUGAUGUACAAAAAGUAUUGAAACAAUAUAACAUAAAUUCUAUAUAGCCAAUGAGGAACUAUAAUAAUAACAACUAUAUAUUCAUAAUAUGAAUAUAAAUAGCACAGAGUCUCUCCAAAGAAUCAUCAGAAACACUUCACUCAUAGUUCUGUCUAGUUUAAAGUACAGUUAGUAAGUGCUUCUUCCAACAGAUAUAAAAUAAGCCAAAAUGUUAUAUAAAGUGAAGCUAUGGACACUAGGCAUUUCUGCAACUUCUCAAGUCCUAUAUAACUAUGUACUUGGUUGUUCCAAAUUAGGACUGAAAUUCUCACAUCAUGGAAAAUAAAAUUGCUUUGUAUUUUUAUGACCUACAGCCAUUUCAUUGAGGCUGUAACUUUUUAAUUUUUUGUUUUUCUAGGAUUUAUCCCUCUAUUUAUAGUGACCUAAGUUUCUGUGAGAUGAAAAGUUCCAUAUGAAAAUAAAUGAGACCCACUUGCAUGAAUUUCAUUUAAAAUAACCAUUUUAAUUUAUCCAACAUUUUAAUCAAAAUUUUCUAUAGUAAUUUAUUUCAUCUUUCCUGUGAGAUUAUUUCCCAUUAGAAAAGAGCAGGGGGGGGGAGGAGCUCAGUAUUAUGGAGUGGGUUUCAGUAAUACGGGUAAAAGGGGUUUGUGAAUAUAUCAAAUCUGCACUAGUAGUUUUAAACACAUUUUUACUAUCCUGCAAUAAAGUGUUCAUAAAUUUCUUAAUUAUCAAUAAAAUGUAGUCAAAAGUGCAUUACACAGAGAAACAGAGGUGUUGUGUUGUAUUGAAUAUUAUUUCUUUUCUUUUAUAAUUGUACUUACAAAUGUACUUGUUUAAAUGCAAUACUGUAGAAAGAGGGCAGUUGUGACCAGAAAGUUAACUCAUAUCGUUCAAGGUUUCCUAAUUCCUUUGGGAAAUGCGAUGUUGCCAGAGCCUAGCACAAAGGUAGGCAUUAAGUGUUCACCCCUGUCCUGACCAUGGCUAUUCACACAACUUUAGGUCUGAGUAGCUGCAUUUGAGUAGGUAACCUCAAGCCCCUCACUACUGCCAAAAGGCUGGUCCUCCUAGUAUACACAUGGCUGAGUAUGUAAAGGUCUGGAUGACAUUACCAGCACCAUUCACAAAGGACUUCUCCAUUGAGAAGGGAAGUUAUUGGAGUGAGAUUUCCAGAAGAACAGUGCCGGGCUUACUGCCUGAUAGUUCUUCCAAGAAACUUGAUACAUCCUCAGUAGUUCCCUCACUGCUCUCUCUAUCACUAGGGAUGAGUGCAAACUGCCUCUACUUGGCUGGGAACAUGAAAUGCACUCCUGGAGCCACCGACUUUCUGCUGCUAGGAUGAAGAGUAGCAUUUUAAUCUUUAGAGCCCUCUCUUAACCUGGUUGGGAAUGCAGAUACGGCCAUGCCAUAUACUCAAGGCAAGGUUGACUUAAGUUCUUUUGUGUUGGCACCAUCAGUUGAUUCUGAAGCUUCUGUAAAUUGACAAUUCUUUUUCCUUUAAUUUUGGUAGGUGGAUAUAUUCUGCCCACAGGUUCUGUAGACCAACUUGGAUUUGAAUCAUUAAGUGGACUUCGGGGUUGCAUUGGUGCUUGCAGGGUUGUGCUGAGAAGCCAUGAGAAAGGAAGUGGCAUAGUAUGACAUCCUGGGAGGCAUCAAAGCAAACUGCAGCCCUGUUUAUAUCCCUGGGUUCAAAAAUGGCUGCUCUCAUCAAGGACCUGGUUGCUGCCUGUUUGGUGCCCUGCCACAAUGACCAUAAAAGAUCUUGGGAAUUAUUCUGUUUUAAAACUACUAGCAUAGCAGAAUAG